GCGAGAUCGUGACCUGGCUGAAGUCGGACGCUUAACCGACUGCGCCACCCAGGCGCCCCCGAAUAGUGCUUUUUCUAUUAUCGCCGGACCUUCAAGAAAGUCUCCGAUAUUUUAAAGCCCAAUGCAGAAAAAAUAAUGACGAGAGGCCUGACUUUCUACUGGAAGAAUGAAGCACCUGAAUGAGACAGGAUUCUCUCGAUGCCUCCAAAUGCCGAGAAUUAAACUUAGAAGAUUAAUCAUAGAGCUUAUGAAGAGCCGUUGAGGACAGCAACUGCAGAAUGGGACAUACAGGUCAUGUUUCUGGGUUGGGAAGGUGCUUGGAGAGAUUUGAGGGAGGUGAGUACUCGACACAUGUGAGGGUCUGUUCCUUGGUCCCCACUUUGGGGCCAACAUUCUGAUGUAAGGGAGUGACGAUGACCGGCAAAGAGGUGCAGAGAAACUCAAAGCAGGUGGGUUCGUUUCCUGCUUUCCAGGACAUGGCAAAGUUGUAAGCCUCCUAGAGAUGCCCCGUGAUUGGGAUGGUGCCGGAACAACUCGAUCGUAGGAAGUGGAUUAGCAGUGGGUGAGAGGACUGUUUGCAUGGAUGUGCCGAUGCCCCUCUACUUCCCCUGCCCCAGGGAAGCUUCACAGAGGCCCAGACCCUCCAGAACAGGACAAGGAAUGCAGCUAGGGGGUCUGGGACUGCAAAGGAGGGACACAGAAGUGCUGAGAGGCUUGAAAGCCUAGAAAAGUGGUAGGGUCGGGACAAUGGGAGGCAAGACUCACUAAUGUCAGCAGCAGAAGUCCGUGUACAGUGGCCAAAGGCCAGGUGACCCCCGCCCAAAAGAGAGACAAGACCUCAGGGGACAGCAACAAAGACAGGAUGACAGCUUAGGGACUGGGCCAUCCUUCAUCAUCGCCAUUAUGAAAUUUAAGGUUCCUCCUGAGCCAAAAAGUCACUUGGGAAUAGCAAGACGGGGGAGGGAAAAUCCCCUGCAAGUUGGAACACUCCAGCUUUUGGAACAUGCCAAGGAACGCUAGAAACUUAGCAGAGACUGGUGCUCAGGAGGGAGGAAUUUAGGCAAGAGUGAGAUAAAAAUUCUAGGCAUGGACCUGUGGGAUCAAGGAAAAGUCCCCCAUAUCACCUGUCCUCUGGAGCUUUGUUUUCCUGCCUUGUCCCUUGCAGUGACCAUCACAGGAAGGCUCGUGGACACCUGACCUGGACAUAGGCGGAGUGAGACUCUCACCACUGCGGUUCAUAUUAAAUUUGGUUUUUGCUCAUUUUAUGCUUUGUGUGGAAGAUUGGGUGUCAAAACGCUUUUGGGGUAUUACGAAACAAAGUUUAAAAGCUAUUUUGAAACGUGGGUUGUGAAAGUUUGUUGACUAUUUCUGGAUGUAAUCAAACAGCUCAGGUUAAAGUACAAGGAACUGGCUUCACCUCUCAGUGUCCAUGGAGUUCUUCCCUAACACCCUGAGUCUCUCUUCUAGCUUAUGUUCAGGAGUCUCCUUACUCAAGGUUUCAUCGGUGUAAAGAAGCUGUGUGUGUUUAUUCCUCGAGACCCAAAGGUACAUGGAUGCUUAACACAAUGCCAAAACCAGCAUGCUGAGCAAGUCAUAAGGCGUAGACCCUCAGGACACAAAAGGAACCCAGGGCUGGGGCAGAGGAUUUCUGUGGUUCUGAGCCUCGGUGCAGAAUUGACAUCAUGGCUCUCCAGGGUCCGUGCCUCACUUUUACAAGCAGAAAAGAAGACAGUCGCCUGCUAGAAGCUGUGGCCUUGCAGGACACUUCUUGGCCAGUGCUUCCCUCCGCCCCCUAUCUCAGCUUCUCCAGGACUCUGCCAGCAGAAGAGGACUGAGGACUGUGCCUCAGCAGGUCUGUUCUUCUUGCUUAUGUGACUCAUGGCCAUGGCUUCUCUGUUGCCCAAGACUUGUAUGUACAGCCCCGAUCAGCUGGGUUUUAUCACUGCUUCCUGGAUUCCUCUUAUUUUUCUUGUGUUGCUUGAAGGACCAGUGCUUCCGCCUAUCUGCUGCCAGGAUCACAUCAGGGCUUCCUGUGUCUUCGGCUCACGUCUUGGCUCGGGGACAUACCUGCGAUGAUACUGAACAAGUUGAGGCCAUCGCCUGGGGACUAACUCACUGCUAAAUGACGUCAAUAAACCCCUUUGAGGUUGCUGCA